AGAGAGGGGAGCGCGAUCGGUGGUGCCUCGUGGGCUGGCCGGGCUGCUGCCGGGGCUCAGCGGCCGCAGACGGUGGAUUUGUGGGAAGCGGACGGGAUGAGAAAUAAACGCACCUGGCCAGCGGUGUUUAGGGGAGUGGGGGCCGGGUGCCCCCGCUGGCUGCCGGAGCCCUCGGACUCCGGACUCGGACCCGCCGAGCUGCAAUGGACGCUGCCCGCCGCUGGCCGCAGAGCGGAGCAUUCCCGCCGCCGCCGCCGCCGCUGAGGAGGGAGAGCUGCCCGCCCGGAGCCGGCCGGAGCGCGCCUCUAUCGCCCGGAGAGGGACCGGGGGUUUCCUCUUCGGCAUCGCUCCGGUGAACGUGGGCUGUGCCAACCGGGCGCCCACGUAGGUUGCAUGGCAGCCGCGGCGCGAGCGAAUAGAACUCCAUGGAUGUAUUCGAAGUAAGCGCCGGGAGCAUUUGGUGAUGUUUGGGGGAGGAAGGCACAAGCCACCAAGGCCCUAUUCCCUCCAUCUUGAGCCUUCCAUGGUGAUAUGCAGCAGCACAGGGAAGUAUGAAGCACUGAGGACAGAAGUCAGCGUUUAAACUUAACUUUGCUUCAACGUAAAUGACCAUGCAAGUUUCAGAUUAACUAAGGGAGGACCAGGGGUAGAAUAGCAGAAGUACUUAAGGUGCUUCUUUUAAAAGUUCUGUUUUGCAUAUCUAAAGAUUAGGGAGAUGUUUAGAAAAGUGAUUAUAUACAUGUGCUUAUGUUUACUGUCCUAACAGGAGAUGAUGAUCCGCAUUAUCUUAAAUGCUAGAUAUGUCUUGGAUGCAUCUGUGUCACCUCAUUGAUUUCAGGGGAUCUGUAUUGAUUUAAGUUAGUGAAGGCACUAACCCAGCUAAGUUUUAAAUAAUUAGAAUAGUAUUCUCCCUCUUUUUCAGUCAGAUUUGCCCUUCAUGUUACUUGUGUUUCAUAAUCCUCCUAGCUCUCCAUUUUGUCAUUACAAGACCAGCAUCUCUACUGUAGGAAAAAAAAAAAAAAAGAGAGAGAGAGGACACCCCCCACCUCCCUCCCAAAGAUAGUCUUUUAACAAUCUGCUCUUUAUAUUAAUGUUUAAAUAAAUUUAGGACACCAAUGAACCGUUUUUUUUAAUAGGCCCAUUUAGUUUCAGUUUCUUACACAGUUAUUUUUUAGAGCCAGAAGCUCUCAGGAAGAGAAUGUGUUCGAUGCACCAGAACCCUUUAGGGUUUUGAUAAAAGACAUGAUCUCAUGAGUACCAUCUCCACUUCUGUUAUUCUUCUUAUAUAGUAGCAACAAGAUUGAAUCACCAUUUUUAGCUAUUCUUCGGCAGAACUCAUAAUCUAUCAAUGUGUCAGCUCAACAGCAGUUUUCUCUUCGCACUAAUGUGAACCAGAAGGUCCAGCUAUCACUGAUUUUGACAAUUUUAUUUUAUCUGAGAUUGCAUGUAUUGCAGAAGUUUGAAGCAAAUGAAUUAUAGGACCUAUUAUAUUUUCCUAAAGAUGUACAGAACAUAAAAUAUGUCAUCUAAAACAUUUCAAACUAAUUUGUAUCAGAUAACAUUCCUAUGUUAGGUGCUUCAUAAGCCUUACGCUAUAAGCACUAUUAAAUAUUUGUGUGAUAAAUAACAAGUAUAAGAUCAAAUGUGGGUUCCGUAUUUUUUUUAAUGCCUCAGAGUGCCCUCUGUGUUGUUACAUAAUGCAUCAUAAAGAAAUACGUGCCUUCAUUCUCUUAAAAUCACUCCGGCAUGGAUAGUACUAAGCUUUCCUUCCAGUCCUCGUUAUGCAAGUCCUUGCUACUGCUAAUAGCUGUCAGCUCUGUAUGGUUACUUAAAAAACAAGGUAACUGCAGACUUUUUGUGAAGCUCCUUGCAUUUCUGGAAUUUACAGUGAGUUGAUUCCAGGUGCGUUGCUCCUUCUCCCAGCUUUAAAUUAAAUUAUUAUGAACAAGCAGAUUUUCCCCCAUCAGAAGAAAGUCCCACUCAUUCCAGUAUAUCACACGGUAGUCUGUUUUUUUGUUUAGGUGCGUCUAUAAGCAUUUUAUAUUAUGAGUAUCUGAAUGCACUUCAGUGUCAAAACACAGUGGAAUAGACCAGAAUGCAGUAAUAUUUUGAACGUCUGUUGGAAAAUGCAGGCAUAUAACUAAGUACUGAAAGAAUACAUAGCACAGUAAAAAAUCCAUGACCAAUCUAGCAAAGCUAUUAGGUAACAAAAAAAAAUCCAUAUAGGCAUUAAGUACUAUUAUUUAAAGUAAAAUCUCUGUUAUAAGCAGCAUUCAAGUGAAAUUGAUGAGACAUCUAUAUAGAACAGAAAGAAUCCUUUUUGUACAGCCAUGAUGCAACCUUCUGUAUUUCUUUACUUAGGAAACAGAAUUUUACUUGUCUUUUUGUAAAGCCGUAAAAUUAACAGCAAGCUCUUCAGAGAAUUAGGAACACUGCCUGACUUGUGAGAUUUUUUUUUUCCUCUGUGAAACACAGAGAUCAUUGGUGGCAAAAAAUCAGGAGAAACCUGUCUGGAUUUUCCAGUGUCAUGUAGAUCUUUUUGAGUGCCCCGUCCUUUAAGAAGGCCUCGGUUUUAAAGGUAUUGACAUGGAAAUAUCUCAAAAUUUGUCAUCCUGACUAUAUAUAGAAAAAUUUUGCUCUUCAUUAUACCAGUAGAAGUAUACAAGUAGUAACUCAGUGAUGUGUCACCUAGAAAAGAGGGUUGGUUUCAUAUUCCAUUGAUAGAUUUAUUAGUUUAACAAUCCUCUAUUGCAUUUCUAAAUUUUUUUAAUCUUUUUGUUGCUCUCGUAAAUUUGAGGUACUAGCUUAUUUGUUUAUUUCCAUUUUCUUACUUGUAAUAAUUUUGAAAGGUUCAACUAUAUUCUGUUCGGAUUUUAUGACACAUGGAAGAUAUUUUUUUUUAAUUCCUUUUGCAAGCAGUGGGUUGGUGGGAGGAGGUCUACACUGUAACACAGUAUACCUACGAAAUUGUUCUCCAGAUAAAAUAAGAGAUAAAAUUACAGAAACAAGUAAUUUGUCGCCGAUAUUCAUGCAGUGCUGGUAUUUUAUUUCAAGCUGGAUUCAUCAAACACGAUAAGGAGUAAUUUUUGUCUGAUAUGAAGUUCCCAUCUAAGGAGACUAAGUGGUUUAAGUUUAAACUGUGGUUUGAAAAUACAGGGAAACGUUACUGGACAGUUGAGAGUUUGAUUCAGUAGCCAAAGAGGACGCAAGGAAGUAAAUUGGAGAAUGCUUUUUUUUUUAGUGUUUGAAAUAUGUCAGGAAAAUACAUCACUAAUACAUUUCUGUGGAGCAGUUACUUUACCUACAAGAUGGUUUUGCCUAUGAAGCACAAGGAUUUUACCACAAGCGUCUGAAUUAUGUAGGUUAUAAAGGGUUCUGAGGCUGUCAGAAAGCAAGCAUGAAAUGUUGAUGUGUGACCCUCAGAUAUUUGAGCGACAUUUACUGACCGCUUUUGCAGUAUUUUGUAAGUUCGUAACAUAGUUUUAGUAAUAAAAAUUUAGUGAAAAUGUAUGAGGUAAGCACUGGUGUAAUACUGAUUAGAGGUUUUUUAGAUGGGCCAAUUACCAUAUUUAGUAAAGUAGAAUAAAAAUGAGAUGACCUGGGACUAAGAUUACUUUAAAAGGGAGAUUUUUAAAAAAAUUAGUAUUGGACUUAUUCUUAGUUAGUAUUAAUUGCUAUUUUUUUAAUACAGUUUUCUCUUUUGUUAAGUUCCAUCGCUCUUUGUUCCGAAAUACCGUGUCCCGACACCGAAAGGGGGAAAUAUAAUGGCUACAAUUAGCUUCUGUUUACUGGAGCAAAAUGAUUUUUUCCCAAACCUAAAUACAUGCAUUAAUUUGCUAGACUUCCAGCUAUUUUUACGUGUGGUAUUUCUGAGAAAGAGAUACCGAUGUCCAUUUUAAUGCAGCUUACUAUAGUAUAGCAGCCGAAAUCGAGCGUUUUUUCUCUUUGGUAGUCAGAUAUACAGAAUUGUUGGACUGUUUGCUUGUAAGUACCUUAAAGCUGAAUCGGAAAAAACAUAUUUUUGAUACAAAAAGUUAGGCUUUCCAGUCUUUACUUACUUUUGAGUUUUCUAGGUAAAUGCUGCGUAGACUGAUUAUCAGAAAAAUCGAGGCUUACAUAAUCAAGACAUUCAUUUUUCUACUGCCUCCCUUCCCCCACUUAGCUUUCAUUUUACUAAGAAAAAUGAAAAAUUUUGAGAAGAAACUUACUAUGACAUACUGAUUAUAUACACAUUUUCAUGAGACUGCAUAGCUAAGCUAUUUGUAUGUAUUUAGUAAAAGAAAGCAGCAGGCAAAGUAUUAAAACCUUGAGCUGGCUAAACUUUAAAAUUAUAGUAAAUAAAUACAGCAUUAUCUAAGAUGCUGUACCUAGCUGUGUAGCAAUGAGUCUUUUUUCUUUGCAUGGGGAAUUAGAGUACUUCUAUGUUGUCUUUAUUCAGAAUAACAAAAAUAAGAACGUCGUACCCCAUUUUUUUAUUCGUUGUAAAGCUGAUGUUCUUUCCUAAGGGAGUUGGUUCAAUACCCAACUUUCAGAGGAUGAGUAGUGAUUGUUAUUGACAAAAUAUAUAUCAAAUGAAUCAAAACUCUGUCCUGCUAGAUAAUUACAAAUUGAAUUAACUAAAAGGAAUAAUAUUAAAAUUUUAUCUAAAUAUGUUAACAUGAGCUCUUACCCAUAGGUGGCAGUCAUCUUUCACAGUAGCAGGGAUGCCAAACUUUUGGUUCGUGGUAUUCAUACUUAUGCUGAAAUAAUUUUGAUGAGGUAUGCGUAUGUGCAUGUACAUAAGCAUAUACAUUUCUGUAUGUUGGGAGAGGGGGAAGGAGGUAAAAAUAACUGUAAAAUUAAUUAGUAAUUGGGAGGAAUCUGAAUUGCUAUAAAUAAGCAAUAAGAUAAGGAAUUAUCACAUUCUGGAAAAAAGGUCCAGGUAUUUAAAACCACAAACCAUAUUUUUUUACUGUCCAUUGCUGACGCUCAUCUAAAUUAAGUAGUGAUAAAUCAGAAAUGAGCCAGUAGCCCUACAAAUUGAACAGGAAGACUAGUAUCUUGCCAGCCUGAGAGAACAUGACCCUGUAUCAUGCCUGGUCCUCCAAACUACGUUUCUGUUUCGUCGCCCAUUAUAUGUAAAUUGCAGAACGGCCACAGUGAUGAUGGUGCCCUGAAAAUCCCAGCAAUAAGCUCCCUUAAACAUUGAGCAAAUAUAGGAAAGGUACUCUGGUUGCAGGUGUCCUUUCAGCCAUGGAGAGCAAGCAAAACCUGCAGGCUGCUGUGCUGUUCUCUGUCUCUUUGCAGAGCUGCCAUUGACACCCGUGGCAGCACGGUGCAAGGGGAGGACGCUGCCUGCCGGAGCAGCUCGGUUUUACCCUCAGCUUUUUGAGGGAUUUAUGUGGUUUAUGGGGAUUUCCUUUUGCAAUACUGCUAAGGAGGCGCUUGGGGCCCCACCAAAACCGAAGGGGAUAGAAGGAGCUAAUAAGGCCAAGUCAUCUCAGUCUAAAACAAACAGAACUUGUGAAACUACACGUGUCAUAGUGAGACGAUAACAUUCUUCUAAGAAAAGAACACCGAAACCUGGAAUUCAGGGGUAGGUGAAGUCAUAUUCUUUUUUCUAUUACAGCUACACUGGGACUCUUUUCAGUUAAUAUUAAUCUAAUAUUGUGUCAAGGUAGGCCACUCUACACAUUCAGCAGAAGUCAGGAACUAGCAUUUUACAAAAUGGAAAAUUUGAAAAAUAGACAAUUAUGUGUUGCUACUACAGUGUUUCACUGUGAUGCAAGAUUAAGGGCUCAGAAUUGAGCAGAAUGGUGCAGUAUUAUUAAAACAGAAGGACUAAUUCUCCUUAUGCAAGAGUCACAGCAACACACAUCAUUGUAUAAGCCAAAGCAGGCUGUAUGAUUUCAUAGCCAAACAGGGUAUUUCCACAGACAGGCAAUCACGACGUGACUAAUUAGAUACUUGCAUAUGCAUGGCCCCAUUUGUUCCCCAACUGUAAUAAUUAGGAGGAUUGCACUCCACGUUAAUUUACACUCUUGUGUAACACUAUUGAAUAUAAGAUAGCGGGUGGUGAUAAACUGGCUGGUGACAAAUGUGUAAAUCUGAUACAUGUUUUGAAAAUCAGAGCUUUCAUAGUCUACUCUGUCCUUGACUUGGGCAGGGCUGGAGAAGACCUCCUCUGCUGUUGGGCCUGAUCCUCUCUGUCACGGGCAUCCAUGUUAUACUCUUCAACUUAAUAUGCAGAGACACCAGACUCCAUCUUGAAGCUACCCCUAUCAUCAGCUGAUUUUAUGUUCCUCUGCAUGGUUAAAGAUUUCAGAUAAUGUGUAUCAUGAUCAGCUGAAACUCUCACAUUCUACAAGGUCUUUGACUUCAGUUUAAAGAGUAUUUCUCUCUCCUGGCAUAAAGUCCAUUCCAGUCUGUCUCCCCUUGAGCUUUCAUAGGUUACUGCCAAAACCUGCUCAGUCUCAGUUCAGCCAACCCAGCUGUGCCAUACCUGUCAUAGAGAACAGUGUUUUUCCCUGACUGUUCUUCUAGCAUUUCUUUGCACCUUCAUUUCCAAUAAAUCUCUUUUAAUCUGCAGGAUUAGAAGCAGGCACAGUGCUCCAGAUGAGGUGUUGCUAGGGUCUUUCAUGGUGGCAUUAAUACCUUUCUAUUCCUGCUAGAUACACAACAACUAAUAUUUUUUUUUUUAUUUUUUUAUUUUUGUAUUAGAGCUACCUGCUGUCAAUAUCUCAAAAGCCUUGAGGACUGAUUGAAACACCCAACUUACCCUUUUUUUUAUGGAGGCUGAUAGCAGAAGUUCUUCAUUCCUAGUUUAUGACCUUGACCUUUGCACUAUCAUAAUGGUCUUACAUUACAAGGGUGUCAAAAGACUUUUUUAUAAAAGAGUGUAAUCAAUUUCAUCCAAGCCACGGGCUUCCUCUGAAUUUCCUGGCAUGUCCAGAUUUGUUCAGGAACCUCUGUGCCUUGCACGACUAUGGACGUGAGCUGGCACACGCACAUGAUACGGUGCAGGGCGUUACAGGUGAGCUAGCUUAGCUCUCGAAAGAGUUCUCUCUAGUAUUAGGUUACCUCAGGCACAUCACAGGGUAUUAUUUCAGGUAAGCCUUCCGAAAGCUGUACAGUACUUCUGACUCAGUGUUCUGCACUGGCUUUGUUUGACAGCUCUGGGAGCAAGAAACCAAAUUCUGAAACAUUUUUACAGGACUUAGUGUCACAUUAUACUGUUUCUAUUGAUCUUGUAGGUUAAUUUUCAGUUUACAGGUGAUGCCCAUGAAAUUGAAGGGGGAACGGGAUGUACAAGAGUUGUAUGAUACUCUUGAAUAACAUCUAAAAGUAGGAAAUUUUAUUUUUUUCUUAAUAGAAGAAUCUGCAGGAUUUCAGUUGUUCUGCUCUGCUUCUGGAAUUUAAGUAACAUUAUUACUGUCUUUAAUUAAACAAAAAAAAAAAAAUCUGUUUGGGGGUUUUUUUGUUGUUGGUUUUGGCAUUAGUCCAAUAGGACUUUUGUGCCCUUUGUUAUACAGUAUUCCACCCCCACUUCAUUCAAGCAGUACCCCAACUUUGUGCCCUCAGAUGAUCAUUCCUAGGUUAAGGUAGUCAGUGAAAAUAAUUAGUAAGAUCGGUCUGAGAUAAUUCUUUAAGGAAGUCCACUAUAAAUUUUCCUCUAGUUUGAGACUUUCCCUUCAAAACGACUUUGCAAGCUCUUAUUCAUAUUAAGAGUUAAUUUAGCAAUUGCUGUCUUCCUUAGUUUAUUUUUUUUUCAAGUAGCAUAUUAACAAAUGUUUUCCUGAAAUUCAGAUUAGGUCAACCCAUUUCCUUGAUGUAGAAAAGUAAGGUUUGGUGGUUUUUUUGUAAGUGUCUGACUAGUGUGCCAUAAUCCAUUCUUAGGGAAGCUUAGUAGUGUUUUUCUUACUUUCUAUUUAUCCAAUUUUAUCCUAUGCUUCCUCCCAUCCAAGUUCUUGAUGGACAGUCCCAAUUUUUCAUCCUUUUAAACUCUGAUUACUUCUAAAAUCCUAUUUGAGGUGACUGCUCUUCUGCUUGGAUUCAAGGACCAAGUUUUCCCACCCAGAAAUUAAGAAAGUCAGAACAAAACUUAUUACUUCCAUCUAAAGGAUUCGUGGAGAAGCUCACUCACAGAGAUGGUGAUGAAAUAUGGAUUUUCUUGGGGUCUUUAGCAUGUAGCUGAGAAGACCACAGACAUAAGAGCAUCUAAAUCCUGCAAUUUACUGCUCCAAGAUUUUCAUACUUCCUUCUAGUCCAGCCAAGGGCUGAUCAUAUCCUGUAGGUUCUAUAAAGUCUUAAAAAGAGUGUGAACAUAGCUAAACAACUUGGUUAAGGUUGCUACAAGUUAAAAAGCAUCCUUUAAAAACCUGAAGUUAUACUCAAAUGAAGAAAUCAGAAAAGAACAUCCAUGUGGCAGAUUAUAUGUGUAAAACACUAUCAACUGUAUAAAAAAAUUAGUUUGAGGGAAAACUCACUGGCUCAAGUUACUAAUUUUUAGCAAUGGUUCUAGAGAAAGAUACAGUUAAGUACAGACUAUUAGGCCUGAUAACCAAGCCAGGUGAACUAGUUAAAGAAAAGAAUUAGUGACCAAAUGGGUAAGUAAGGGUGACAUAGGGGAAGAAACAGGCAGCUUUUGCAAAGGGAAGCGAUGCCUCAUGAGUCCCUCUGUAUGAGGAGAGGAGAUCUUGUCGACACACUAAGCAGGAAUUAAAAAAAGACAUUCGACAUCUUUUACCGGAGGCUCUCAAAGGAGUUAAGCUGCAUGGGCAAAGAGGCAGCUUCUCACGUGGGCAAACAUCACAUGAAAAGAGAGGAAGCAAAGGUCAGAAAUGAACGUGAUGGGAGUCAAAUAGCAGAGCACCUCCACCAGCAUUGUACAGCAUGCUCAGAAAUGUUCUGUGAAGGGGCAUGAAUAAAAGUUGCAGAGAUUACUGUGAACAUGAAGACAGGAUGAAGGAAGACACUGUGAAGCUGAGUAACUGAGCAACAAAACAGCAGAUGAACCUCAGUGUAGAUAACUUCCCUGUGAUGCACAGGGGGGAAUGACUGGGUCUCAGCUGGCUGCUACCCCUCCUGAGCAGUGUUGUGAGGUUCUAAUAAAUGCUUCCCUGCUUGGCAGUGUUCAAAAAGCAAGCAAAACAUUAGGAAUUAAAAAGAAAGGGACAGAACAAAAUUUUAAAAGACCCUAUUAUUAUGAUGCUGUGUAAAACUUUUCUACCACUUUCCAAGUCUUGCACAUGUUUCUUUGGCCUGGCUGCCUUUAGCAUAAAUGCAUGGCAACACAUGUGUUUAAAAAACAUUGCAAAAUCAAAGCUAGAAAGCCAAUAUCAGACAAACAAACAAAAAAAUCCCACUGUAGUAAAGGAAAACAACAGUUUGCUUCACAGGUUUCUCCUCCAUCUUCAGAAAAGCCAAAAGGAAAAGAAACAGCGUAAGAGGAUAGCCUUGGCACUGCUGGAAACACUCUAAGGGGUGAUGAAGGAAUACUUUGCAAGUUUCAGUUCAGCUUUGCUUCUGACACUCACACUGGUAUUUCUUGACCUCUGAAUGAUCAAGUCCUCUUUCUGCAAGACUCGCCAGGAUUAACCAGAGAACUGAGCAUCACAGAGCCAAGGCACAUCUUACAUCUCACAAAGGAAUUGGGACCAUACGUGGCUGUAUACUCCGGGACAAGAAGCCAAGAAACAUGCCAAAACAGUGCCAAAUUCAAUCCACUUCUGACAUUUCUAGUACAGCUUCAUCCUGAGACUCUUGGAACAUGGGUCGCGGCUGAGACAAGGCAGAGCCAGUGGGAAAAAAAGCUCUGUGGGCUGAGUUGGGCAAACAGAGAUGCCAUGACACAAUGCAGAAGCUGCUGGCAGUGGGAUGAAUCUGUGCACCAGCAAGAGCAGUAUCUACUCCAUCUGGCUUGGGCUCCACAUCAUCCGAGAAGACUUCCUUUUGAACAGGGAGAUUCCAGUCAGGGUGACUCCACCAGUAAAAGAGGUAGCGUCUCAGAUUUGCUUAUCUAAAACUUCUUGAAAGCACCCCUAACUUCCUUGGCAGCAGUAGCCAAACAAGAGCUGUAAAAUACUGUUUUCCCUGGGCUGGUUGAACUCGCAACUCAGCAUAUGUGGUGAGGAGCUCCUAAAAUAGCUCUCAGUUGCCUCACCAGCCUCAGAAGCAACUUGAAAAAUCUUUUGUCUUCUGGGACAACUUGGACAAGUUUUAAAAUGUUUGGACUUAUUUUGAGAGUACUCUGAAAGAUAAGAAUGAUCUAUUCCAAGGCCAGGUGAACUGAAGGUCACAGCUAAGGCAUUGCACAACACAACAAAGUAGGUUCAGCACAAAACUCACAAAGAAUUUGAUCAGCUCAUCAUUGCUGCUGCUGCUGCCCCUGCCUAAAUUCAGGUCAGAGCUUGACCUGGCACCUCACUGGGCCAAACGUUCUCAUCUUUUAUGCCAAAUACCAGUGGGGCAAUGCCAAAGAGGCAGAGGACAUGGGUCCUUUCCUGACAGAGCCUUGUUGGAGAAGUCUUCAGAAAAAAAGCCAAGCAAAACAGCUCAAUUUCUGAGUGGUUGCUGCAGGACAAGUGCGCUCUCACUCUGGGAAGGCUAACACACACUUCAUCCUGGUCAAAGAGUAGUCUCUGACUGGAUCUUGUAAUAUUUCAGGCUAUCUCUAGUUAGGACAAAACCUGAAUAGCUCUUGCUUUGUUAAACAAGGGAUAUCCCCAAGCUGCUCUUUAUUGCUGUUCGCGAAGCCUAGCCAUGACUUCAGCACAGCAUUCCUGUGGGCUCUGCACGGACAACAUGGAGGCUGUCCCCCUGCAGUCAUUUGAAACUCUUCCCUCCCAUAAGGAAAGGCUGCUCUUUCUUGAAAAUAUAAUUUGCUCCUGCAAAACAACUCCAAAAACCCAUAUACAUCUGGGACUUCUCAUCAGGGUGGGAGAAGAGAUUUUUUGCCCACGUCUCAUGUUUCUGAGCGUGCUCCCUAGUGUCUUGGCCAGAGCCUUCAGUAUAGCUUUUUGCCGACUCAGGCUGUUGGUUUUCUUAUCCCAAAUCCCUAACGGGUGGUUUUAAGUACUCCAAGCAUUUUUCAAAGACAGCUUGAAACCUAGCCAAGCCCACAGUGGGGGAGGGAGGGGUAGAGGUGGGUGUGUAACUCUUCUCUGACAGGUCUGCAGUUGGUCUGAUUGUCUCCCAGGUCAGGCGAACUCGUCUGCAAGCUGCAGGGUGCAGCUGCCACCCCAGGGGACAACCCCCCCAUUCCCAAAAUCAAGUGAACUUUGUGAUUUUUUUAGCAGCAGUAAAUGAUCCCACUGGGGGUGAUUUGACCACCAAAACUAUGCUAGCUUGGCUGAAGGGUUGAAGUACAGAGGCCCACGUCAAUAUGGAUUUACAGAUACUAACGGAUGCAGGAUCGAGACCCCUCCCCAGCUCCAGACCCCCCCCCACCUGUUCUCACCUGCUGCUUGGAAAUCACCCCUUCUCCAGGUCCCGUGUUUACACGUCUGUCCAUGACACAAUAAAACAGAGGGAAGGCAAAUGUGCAAUGUAGAGAUCCAUUAUGCUUUAUUUACAUGCGUCACCAUCUCUUUUACAAACUAGAUUACAAUUUAAAAUGGAAUACACAAGGCAAUAUCUACUAACACCAAGUGGAGUAAGCACUGCGUCUCUACUUCAUUUGGAAAGGGGCAGGUUUUGCUCCAAAACAAACUUCCUUUCAACCUCUGAGUAGUAAGGUAAUAUAUUCCUCCAGGGCAGCAUCUUUUUUCUUUUUUUUUUCUUUUUUAAAUAAAAAAUCCUCAGUAAGACUGCAACGUGAGAGUGUCUGCUUUCAAAUGAAAGUACAAGAUAGCCCAAAUGAAAAGUAUAAACUGUUCAGCUCUUCGGUAUGUAAAGACGGCCAUGCGCAAUAAGGCUGUGGAUUUAAUAUUCUUCCAAUUUACAUGGCUUGAAACAGAAACAGAUAAAACAGUUUUACAGAUACUGUAUACAUAUUUUUUCCAAUCAUGCAACUUUUUAAAAAAAAAGUUUAACAUGUGAAGCCAAAUGUACAAUCCAUUUUUUCCAACCCAUAGUAACGAAAUGUAUCUGGUCCCCCUGUGCAUCUGUUGGCAAUUCUAGAAGCGUACUAGAAACACUUACAGGACACCGAUUGCCAAGCAAUGACAUAAUUUUAGAGAAAUACAUAACCUAAAAGGUAACUUUUUUAAGCGGUGGCACAACAAUUUCUAGAGUUAAACAGUGUUUAACGAUCCCAUUAUUCUCAAGAGAAAUUUUUUUUACAAAAUCAUUAAAUCAAGCCCCAAUCUGUGACUAGAAACUGCAUAAAUAACAGCUUUUUAGACCUUUUGUUUAGACCAAGUGUUCAAAUGAUAACCACGUAAUUGUGACCAUGACUUUUAUCUGUUUUACAUGAUUUCACAAUGAAAACUUCUAGGCAUAAACAUGUUCAAAGACUCAAAGGCCAAAUUUUUAGGUUCCCAAAAUUAGCUAUUCAAGUCUGUAUUUUGACACGUAAGUAAGUGGCCCUUUGAAUUCAGUGAGAUUUAUUUAGCACCUCUGGAGUGAAGGACCUUUGCUGGGCACCUCAGCAGGUGUAGAGGAGGAUGACUUUCCCCUGGGCCUGGGGGGACCUGUCACUUCCCCUUCCUUCAAGAAGUGAUGAGGGCAGAGCAGCUCAACCUCUGUGACCACACUGGAGUCCCCAGUGUUCAGUGCCUGACACCAGGCACUUUCACUCGAAAAUUUUGGCCCCAAAAAUGAGCAACAGAAACCAAACCAAGGCCAAGUCCAACCCUCUUCAGCAAGUGCUGGGAUGUUCUCCAAAGCAGGGGCUCAAGGUGUUCCAGCCACACCAAUGGAAAUGCUCUCCUUGACACUGCUGGGAGGCAGGUUAAGCCUUUCAGCUGCUAAUGUUUUGUUACUUUUUUAAAAAAACUUCUCUGCCAUUGCUGGGCUGUCUCUAAAUCAGGUGUUAUUUCUCCAUUUUCUGAACAGAGCAGGCCAUAGUUUUCUCUCUCAUUUCUGACAGCAGGAGCCAGCUCAUUUGAACUCAAGCAGGCUAGGCUGCCAGAACAGAGCAGAAGUUGCCCCCACUUUGUUUAAGCUAACAGGCCUUCCCUUGCCUUUGACAAGAACUUAAUCUGUACCAAGACAAAAAAAAAUUAUGAGUUUUGGUCACCUUGGCCAUACCAUCAAGUCAGGCCUUACCGGAUCUGUCAGUGACCUGGCUGGUGGGUCUUUGGGUAGGCUCCUCGGGUCUUACUGGAGAGGGAUCAUGCAGGGAUCAAAUGCUGCACCCCAGCAUGGGGAGCCACAGAGUGAACUCUGCUGGCGGCCAAAACCACGGGGCCAGGGCACAAGUCCAGCCGCAAGGUGGCAGCUGCAAAGAAGCCUCAGGGAAAGAAGCACUAGAGGGGAGUCCUUCAGCAUACACCCACAUUUUGGGGUGUACUGGGAAGCUGAGAGCUAAUGGUACAUGCUCAGAGGAGGCCAGUGACAAACCCUAGCCCAAUUUCAGUAAAAGGUGCUUGCAACUGGACUCCAAUAAGCAAGGUGCCCAGGUGUGCCACACAAGCAUCCUGGGAGGCUGGCUUCUGAUAGAGAUGGGCAAUGAGCACCAGCCAACUCCAAUGAACGCUAUAAACUAAGCCACACGCUGACAAACAGACCACCUCAGUGUAAAAAGAAGUUUUUUUAAAAGGCAAAUGAUAAACCCUUGGCUGCUUGGAAGAGUUGAUAUGCUACAGGGCUAUGCUAACCACAACUGCACAGAGCCUACACAGUCAUAACUGGGGGGAGAAACCAAGAGGUGCAUCUUUGUGAGAGAACAGCGUGGAGGCUACGGUACAAAAACAAAACUUCCAUCACACUAGGAGCUGUUGUUUCACCUGUAUCACCUCAGGGACCUGGAAAGUAAGGAGUGAGGAAGGGCCCACAAAUGCGCGCAUGUCUGCAUGGUUGUGCAUGUGUGGUGGCAGUGGCGAGAGGGAGUCACUCCACAUUGCAUGGGACACGUGUCGGUGGGAACUCAUGCACUGAGACUUUGGGUUAAAAUGCUAGUUUGUUUUCCUAACAUCCAUGCAUAAUGAUCCAUUUCUGUACAUAAUAAAAUAUAUUUAUAUAUUUAUAUGCAUAAUGCUUUUAUGCAAAGAAAAAAAACUUCAUAUAUCACUUUGGAGAAUUAUGAACACUGUCCUGUUCAGAACCUCUUCAUAUUGAGUUCCUAUGUACCUCUUUUCUUUGUAUCCCUUUCCCCCCAAGAUACUAAUAAAAAGUAAUCAAAUUUCCAGAUUA